AUGGGGCGACUCCGGGAGGCCGUGGAGGGGCUGGAGGUCGGGGUGCUGGUGAACAACGCCGGCUUGGCAACGCCGCACGCGGCAUACCUGCACGAGGUCGACGUGGAGGCAUGGGUCAAGAUGAUACGGGUGAACCUGUGGGCCGUGACUGAGGUGACGGCGGCCGUGUUGCCCGGGAUGGUGGAGCGAGGGAGGGGCGCCGUCACCAACAUCGGCUCUGGCUCCACGGAGGCGCUACCCUCCUACCCCCUCUACUCCGUCUACGCCGCCACCAAGCGGUACGUUGCUCAGUUCUCCAGGAGCCUAUACAUUGAGUAUAGGGGCAAAGGAAUGGAUGUCCAAUGUCAGGCCCCAUUGUAUGUGGACACGAAGAUGGUGACGAACAUGGUGACCCGGGAAGGCCUCUUCUCUUGGCUAACCAUGCCGACGUCGGAUGCCUACGCCAACGCAGCUACGUGCUGGAUCGGGCACCGCAGCCCGAUCUGCAUGCCCAACCUGAGCCACCGGCUCCAGUGGUGCCUCAUCCACUUUGUCCCAGACCGCUUCAUUGUGGCGCACCGCCUCCGCGAGACUCUACGGCAGCGGGCUGUCUUCCAGCGGCUGAGGGCAUCAACUGAGGGUGCGAAUCGUCGCAUGCCGUCAGCGGCUGCCUCAACCGUCAAUGAAGUUAGCUAA
rnacentral:rRNA from 1 species